UACAGAGGUCUCAAGCGUUGUUCGGAUUCAUUGGGCGUAAAGGGUGUGUAGGUGGCGCCGUAAGUCGGGUGUGAAAUUUCGGAGCUUAACUCCGAAACUGCAUUCGAUACUGCGGUGCUUGAGGACUGGAGAGGAGACUGGAAUUCAUGGUGUAGCAGUGAAAUGCGUAGAGAUCAUGAGGAAGACCAGUGGCGAAGGCGGGUCUCUGGACAGUUCCUGACACUGAGGUGCGAAAGCUAGGGGAGCGAACGGG
rnacentral:rRNA from 1 species